rfam:Ornithorhynchus anatinus chromosome 4, whole genome shotgun sequence.
CCCCUCUCAGGGUCGCACCUGGAGAGUGUCCAGUACUCUACCAGUCUCGGCUAGGGGUGGGAGAGUCAAGCAGAGGCCUGUCCAUUCCAUUCCUGACUUGGGCAGUGGCUAGCAAGUGGUAGGCAAUCUGCUUCAAGG